GACUGCAUGGCCCAACGGAUAAGGCGCCGGUCUACGGAACCGGAGAUUGUAGGUUCGAGUCCUACUGUGGUUA